AAGUCGUAACAAGGUCUCCGUUGGUGAACCAGCGGAGGGAUCAUUAACAAAUCAUGAUGUGGUGUUGUGUAACAGCACACCACAAAUUAACCCGAACCUGUGCCUUUUGGCCAGGCUAGGUGUGGGUAUUGUCAUAUUGGCUCGUUCAAUAUUAUAAUACUCGCGGUGAAGACGAAAGUCGGAUCCACAUAGACGCUUGUUUUUGUUUGACAGAUUUCAAUUGUAUCCAAAAUUAAUGACAACUUUUAACAAUGGAUCUCUUGGCUCUU
rnacentral:misc_RNA from 1 species